GGCUUUAUUACCUAGCUUUCAGGUAGAUGUGAUCAGAGUACAAGGAAGAUGAAUUAAAAAGCAACAACUUUCCAUCUUGGGAACAUUCCCGGGAAAGGCUUCUCGCCCCCUUCACCGCCUUCACCUCCUUCCCCUUCAGCGCCAUCUGCUGCCGCCGCCUCUGACGGGUCCGGUUCUGCUGAGGCGGAGAUGGGAGCCAUCGGUACAACAAUGCAAGACGGAAGGGGCAAAUCACAGGGACUGUAACCUGGAACCUGACAGAGGGCAGCGAACAGGAGUCCUAAUACGGCUUUGAAAUGGACUACUCUGGGCGCCAUCCCACUCGCGUCAGACAGAGUACUGCGGGGCGACAGGCAAGAGGGAAACCACUGCCCUAUUUUAUAAAAAAGUAGCAUGGAGGAUGCUUCACCGACAAGAUAGUGGCUCUUAAAUUUAUGAUGAUAUUACACUCAGGCACAACACAUCUUCCAAUCAUUAUUAAA